ensembl:lncRNA
CAGGUUGCCUUUGAUCAUGGUGCUCACCAUAGCAAUAGAAGCCCUAACUAAGACAGGAGGGGGUAUGUAUUCACAUGCUGCUGCUUACUGGCUGUUCUUCAGAGUGGCUACCCAAAGGAACCUCUCAGGAAUAGUGAAAUGACACCAACUGUUAGCAUGGCUGGUGAGACACACCAGCUUCCCAGCUGCUGAUUUCUGUCUUCAGGUGGGUAAAGCUCAGAACGAACGAUGACUUCACAACAGUGGAAGACUAAUCAAAUCCCCCACUCUCAUUCACAGGGUCUGGCUUAGGAUAGCCUGGGCUCCCCUACAACCUCAAGGUGCACAGUCCUAUCUUUCCAAACAGUUCCCACCUGCCAACUUGGGGCUCCCAGAGUCUCAGCAGAACCCCCACCCAGCUCCCCACAGAGCUCUGCCUUGUGUGACUGAGACAUCUCCACCACGCACCGCCUACUCCACCCCACUGAAGACUAACAGCUGCAGUGUCGGGCCUUCUACAUUAAUGACAGCCUUUCUCUACCCCUGUCGCCUAAAUGUGCUGCUCUUGCCAGUGAGAAAGACAAAAAUGGCAGAAGCUGCGAUGGCUGCCGGACGGAGAGCCAGUGCACACAGCAAGCCGCAUGUUAGGUUCCCAACAGCCUUCAAGGACUAGAAUGGCUGUGCUUCGUGAUACUAGACACUGAGACUCUGAGGGGGAGGAUACUCGUGCCUCAGGUGGCUUAGGAAGAUUUUGAGAUCUGUGCAUCUGUCUGAUUCCAGCAUCUUCUACCCAGGCUCUGAUGCAAGAGAUAAGAGCCAUCAAUCAAGCAUUUUGACAGCGAUGAGCAAAGGGAAUAAUGUACGCCACGAGUCUUCAGCCCAUGUUGGAACCUGGAGAGACUCGAGUCUAGUGGCAGGGAUGAGGCGUCGCCAGCAGCUACAGAGAUGUCCGGCUAAUCACCGCAGGAUGGCUUGGCCUCAGUGGAGAAUGUCUUGUAGUUUACAUAACAACAGACCUAGGCCCUGGCUGUGCCUGCACCUAUUCUGAGAACUUGCUUACGUGCCUAGAGACUGUUGAGUGCCUCUGGAAUCAAAAGAAAUUUUUGAUAUCUGCUUUAUACAUGAUAAUAGAUGUCUUUUGCGGUCACCCCCACUGCUGGAAAGCUAUUUAAGAGGAUGCUUUGAAUAAACUGGAGACACCAGUUUCCACCAUGGAUUGAGAGCCCUCCUGAAAUGACAAGAUGUCCGUGUCUCGUCUUAAUCGCCGUUGGGUAGCUACGAGUUUCCCGGUCCAGCACCCCCUGACUCGGGUAUGGACCUGGUGCCAUUGGGCUGGCUCCGAUCUCAGCCCCAAAGACUUCAGUCCAGAAUAGAUAGCCUCUGUAGCAUGGGAGUGAUACAAGCCAGGCCUCGGCAGGAAGCCAUUAUUCCCACAGCCCCAGCCACUCCUGGGCCAUCCCUGCAUAAAAUGUAAUCCUGGGCAGGAGACAUCAUGUCAGGAGAGCCAGGUAAGAGAAAGGAAGAGGUCUGAGGCAGGUGGCCGGCUGAGGGUGGGGAGAGGUCUGAGGCAGGAGGCCGGCUGAGGGUGGGGAGAGGUCUGAGGGAGGAGGCCGGCUGAGGGUGG